UACGUAGGGGGCGAGCGUUGUCCGGAAUCAUUGGGCGUAAAGAGCGUGUAGGCGGCUCGAUAAGUCCGCUGUGAAAGUCCAGGGCUCAACCCUGGAAGGCCGCUGGAAACUGUCUGGCUAGAGUCCGGAAGGGGCGAGUGGAAUUCCUGGUGUAGCGGUGAAAUGCGCAGAUAUCAGGAGGAACACCUAUGGCGAAGGCAGCUCGCUGGGACGGUACUGACGCUGAGGCGCGAAAGCGUGGGGAGCGAACAGG
rnacentral:rRNA from 1 species